UUUUCCACCGGAGCUUGCUCCACCGGAAAAAGAAGAGUGGCGAACGGGUGAGUAACACGUGGGUAACCUGCCCAUCAGAAGGGGAUAACACUUGGAAACAGGUGCUAAUACCGUAUAACAAUCGAAACCGCAUGGUUUUGAUUUGAAAGGCGCUUUCGGGUGUCGCUGAUGGAUGGACCCGCGGUGCAUUAGCUAGUUGGUGAGGUAACGGCUCACCAAGGCCACGAUGCAUAGCCGACCUGAGAGGGUGAUCGGCCACAUUGGGACUGAGACACGGCCCAAACUCCUACGGGAGGCAGCAGUAGGGAAUCUUCGGCAAUGGACGAAAGUCUGACCGAGCAACGCCGCGUGAGUGAAGAAGGUUUUCGGAUCGUAAAACUCUGUUGUUAGAGAAGAACAAGGAUGAGAGUAACUGUUCAUCCCUUGACGGUAUCUAACCAGAAAGCCACGGCUAACUACGUGCCAGCAGCCGCGGUAAUACGUAGGUGGCAAGCGUUGUCCGGAUUUAUUGGGCGUAAAGCGAGCGCAGGCGGUUUCUUAAGUCUGGUGUGAAAGCCCCCGGCUCAACCGGGGAGGGUCAUUGGAAACUGGGAGACUUGAGUGCAGAAGAGGAGAGUGGAAUUCCAUGUGUAGCGGUGAAAUGCGUAGAUAUAUGGAGGAACACCAGUGGCGAAGGCGGCUCUCUGGUCUGUAACUGACGCUGAGGCUCGAAAGCGUGGGGAGCAAACAGGAUUAGAUACCCUGGUAGUCCACGCCGUAAACGAUGAGUGCUAAGUGUUGGAGGGUUUCCGCCCUUCAGUGCUGCAGCU
rnacentral:rRNA from 1 species